rnacentral:lncRNA from 1 species
CGCCCAGAGAUCAAUCACACACAUAAGUCACAAAUUAAAUACCAUCAUUGCAGUAUUUACAACAAACGUAGUUAUUACAUCACAAAGUCUGGCAUAACAGCGGAAAUAUAAAUAUGAUAAUCUAAGAUAACUAUCUCAUGGCCCUCACACAGGGAAGGUCGACUGGUGAAGCACAAGCCUAAUAGUCCUCCGGAUAGUCCUCAUAGCUACCACCAUCUGUUACCC